GUUCCCCAGGAAACUCUAUCUACGGCCGUGUCCUGCUGGCACCGUGGGGGCACACCAAGAUAGGGCAGCCUUCUACUAGGUAGGGGAGUCAUUACGUGGGUGGGUGAGCGUGGUGAGCGUGGGAGAGGGCGCUGGGGUUUGGCGUGGGGAUGGGCCACGUUUUGCCAUGGAGCCAUAGAGCCGGUGCUUUUUCAGCAACGAAGGCAACAGACCUCACCCCGCACGCUGUAACAGGGGCACAUUCCGUGCGGCGGAAUAUUUUGCUGCCCUAUAGCACCCAAACGAUCGUUACGAUCGCUGUUACCUAGGUCGUAGAUCGUUACCCCUCCGGCAUCGUUACGAUCUCGCUACGAUCUGCUUACCAUCUUAACCAGCCAUGGUAACAGCCUGCUCACGGUCUACGAGGCGCACAUGUAACCAUCACUUUGACGCCCGUUACAUGGCAGCCUUGUGCUUUGCUGAAGGCCUACCUCAGUACUAACGUACGAACUAUGUAGUCCUACCGCUACUCCACAUGCUAGCCAUCUGUCAAGGCUUGAUAGCACGACAAGCGCAGAUGCUCAUGCAACACUUAUGCAACACUACCGCAAGUCCAUACGUACAUGCAACAAUACGCCAAGUCAUGUCUGCGUGUGAACGUGCAACUAGCCACUGGCAGCAACCACUUGCAUGUCUGCUGGGCACAACGUCUCUGACCCACCACCUUGACGCCCGCCGCCACCACAGAUAGCAUGCCAAACUAUGCCACUGGCACCUCCAUCUCUAGCGCCAGACAGCUGGUGUCACGCUGGCUCCUGUAGUUUUGCUUCCACCGGCAGCGCCUGCAUGCACGCGUGCACACACAUAGACACACCCAGUUAAUCGUCUGCCACAAGACGGGUAGGUGCCAAUGCAUGUCAAGGCCAGCCAUGGACAGAGUGCUUGGCAGUGCACGGGGCCUACCACACAAGGCGUGUCUGUGUGCACAUGUGCAUGUGUGUGCGCCCACACGUGUCACGGACACUCACCGUUGAUGAGCACAAUGCUGGAGGUGUAGGGGCAGUCCAGCCAACCGUACGGUCCAUAGGGUACAACAGGGGUUGGGCAGCAAGCUGUCGCGGGGCAGGGUGUGUGCGUGCGGAGGGGGGCGGGGUGGUAUGUGAGACACAAGGCACCGUGGCAAGGGAGCCAUAAAAACACCUUACAGCGAGCGCUGGUAAGGGAGGCAGCAGACAGUCAGUAGUUGUAGGCGGGGGCUCCACCAGACAACCCAACACAGCGCGAGAAGAUGACCAUGCACACUGGCUUGCGAGGUACCACUAGGUUCAACGCAUCCCAUCGACAUUCAACCUGCAGACUAACCUGCGGACUAUGGCGUGCGGGGCGAGGGUGAUGUUGACAGAACGCGAUGUUGAAUGGCGUUGUUGACGCCGGCGACCGAGACUUCUCGGUCGGACAUUUGAAGCGCAGCUGAUAGAUUAUGAGGCAUAGUAGUUUCUCUCACGUAAUAGCUGGCUGCAGCUGACGUGUGAGCAGCGUUGCCAAGCCGGUCAACGAGCAGUCAGCAGCGUGAGGACUCGCGUCCCAAGCCAGCCAAGCAGCGUCGGCCGCCAGCUCUUGUUCUACUGACAUUUGAGCUAGCAUAAAUUUGUGUUACAAAGAGAAGUAGCAAGCGCGAGAGAGCAAAGUGGGGGACAGGAACAGAAGUCCAGCGGCACCGGCAUGAAGUGCAGUGUAUCAGUAUAUGUAUGGUACUAUAUCAGUAUAUGUGUGGUAGUAUCAGGGGCCGCUCUAUGCUGCUUGUUAAGUCAGGCCCGCGAGAACCCCAUGCAGGAACCCUGUUACCCCUCGCGAAGGCCCCGUUACCCCUGGCUUAGGGUCGUUACCACGCCCAAGGGUCCCUGUCACAAUGUCACACAGUCGGCCUACAGCCCCCAGACUUCCUCGUUCGCGAGCGCAAAGACUACAGAAGUUUAAGGCUUCACAUAUUAGACUGUUUUAACACAAACUGUCACUACAUUACACACUUUGCAGACUAGAAUGUCGGCAUGUUCACUUGUCGGCGACAAAAGGCACUCCGCCCAGUCCGCAAUGUGCGUAUGCAUGACAAGUAGCUAAGAGGUGACCACAGCACCACUUGGCUUGCGUCCUGGGCGUGCCAGGCCGUGCGGGCCCGAAACAAUCGUUACCCCCUGUCCGGGGAUCGUCACCCCCGUUUUUUGAUCGUUACCACCAUUUGGGUGCCAUAGGGC
rnacentral:lncRNA from 1 species